GAUGAACGCUAGCGGCAGGCCUAAUACAUGCAAGACGAACGGUAAGUUGAGUAGCAAUACUUGACCAAGAGUGUCGUAAGGGUGCGUAACACGUAUGCAAUCUGCCCUCAACAGGAGGAUAGCUCCCCGAAAGGGAAUUAAUACUGCGUAAGAUUGUAGUUCGGCAUCGGACAGCAAUUAAAACCGAGGUGGUUGAGGAUGAGCAUGCGCAUGAUUAGUUAGUUGGCGGGGUAACGGCCCACCAAGACGAUGAUCAUUAGGGGAACUGAGAGGUUGAUCCCCCACACUGGCACUGAGAUACGGGCCAGACUCCUACGGGAGGCAGCAGUAGGGAAUAUUGGACAAUGGGUGCGAGCCUGAUCCAGCCAUGCCGCGUGCAGGA
rnacentral:rRNA from 1 species